UACGGAGGGUGCAAGCGUUAAUCGGAAUUACUGGGCGUAAAGCGUGCGCAGGCGGUUUGUUAAGUCCGUUGUGAAAGCCCCGAGCUCAACUUGGGAAUUGCAGUGGAUACUGGCAGGCUGGAGUACGGUAGAGGAAGGUGGAAUUCCCGGUGUAGCAGUGAAAUGCGUAGAUAUCGGGAGGAACACCUGUGGCGAAAGCGGCUCACUGGACCACAACUGACGCUGAUGCACGAAAGCUAGGGGAGCAAACAGG
rnacentral:rRNA from 1 species